rnacentral:rRNA from 1 species
UACGGAGGGGGCUAGCGUUGUUCGGAAUUACUGGGCGUAAAAGCGCACGUAGGCGGCUUUGGUAAGUUAGAGGUGAAAGCCUGGGGCUCAACCCCAGAAUUGCCUUUAAGACUGCUGGGCUUGAACGUCGGAGAGGUGAGUGGAAUUCCGAGUGUAGAGGUGAAAUUCGUAAGAUAUUCGGAAGAACACCAGUGGCGAAGGCGGCUCACUGGGACGACUGUUGACGCUGAGGUGCGAAAGCGUGGGGAGCAAACAGG